rnacentral:rRNA from 1 species
AUUGAACGCUGGCGGCAGGCCUAACACAUGCAAGUCGAGCGGCAGAAGGGAGCUUGCUCCUGGAUUCAGCGGCGGACGGGCGAGUAAUGCCUAGGAAUCUGCCUGGUAGUGGGGGAUAACGUCCGGAAACGGGCGCUAAUACCGCAUACGUCCUGAGGGCGUAAGUGGGGGAUCUUCGGACCUUACGCUAUCAGAUGAGCCUAGGUCGGAUUAGCUAGUUGGUGGGGUAAAGGCCUACCAAGGCGACGAUCCGUAACUGGUCUGAGAGGAUGAUCAGUCACACUGGAACUGAGACACGGUCCAGACUCCUACGGGAGGCAGCAGUGGGGAAUAUUGGACAAUGGGCGAAAGCCUGAUCCAGCCAUGCCGCGUGUGUGAAGAAGGUCUUCGGAUUGUAAAGCACUUUAAGUUGGGAGGAAGGGCAGUAAGUUAAUACCUUGCUGUUUUGACGUUACCAACAGAAUAAGCACCGGCUAACUUCGUG